GAGUGGCACAAUGGGUCAGUGUGUCUUGCUCUCAACCAGAAGGCUGGUGGUUGAAGCCCACCCGGGGAUG